CAUACAAAAAGAAAAGAAGAACAAAUUAAACAAUACACAAAAUAAGGGGGGGAAAGGGUACAAAAAAUAAAUUCAAGGGGGCGUUGGGGAGGUGGUGUAUUAGUCAUAUAUCCCACUGUUCAUAACCACUUCGACGUUUGUUCCGUAUAUGUUCUCCAUACAUAUUUUCUUUUGCUAUCUGCUACUUUAUUCUCCUCUUGUUUUUCAAUUUUGAUCUAAUGAUUCCCUAAAUCUGUACCACGGGGUCCAAAUCUUCCAAUAAGUUACACUGUUAUUAUGAUAUAAAUACGUUAACUCCUCUAACUGUCUUAUUUCUUCUACUGAUCUCAUCCAUUCGUUAAAUGAGGGCGGUUCCUUGGAUUUCCAAUGUUUUGGAAUUAGGGAUUUAGCUACUUGAAUUAGAUAAAAGGAGCGACAAAACGAUGGUAAUUUAUAUUCACCUGAAUUGAGAAGAAUAUCGUAUACCUUUGAGAGAGGUUUCAUCAGGUCUGGGUACAAACCCUGCUUGAUCCUGAUGAAUAAUUGAAGCUUGGAGCCCAAGGCUAUCAGAUAGCCUCUUAAGACGCAUUUUACAGUUUCCCAUAGAGUUGACGAUGAUAUUUCUGGUGUUAAAUUGUUUGUUACUAUUUGUUUAAUCCAUUUUUGUAUCAUAUCCUUAUUGUCUGCAUUAUGUAAUAGAAAUUCAUUUAAUCGCCAAUUAAAUUCUGGUUUAAUUACUCCUGGUAUCAUAUAUUUCGUGAUUACCGGUGCAUGAUCUGAUGUUAAUGAUGUGGCUAUAUCGGCUUUUUGAAAU